GCCCUGGUGCUGGAAUUGGUAAAAAGGAAAGGUUGAGGGCCGUGUGUUGCAAGACGUCGGAGUUCGAGUCUCCGCCAGGGCU
rnacentral:tRNA from 1 species